AAUAAAAAUUAAUCGUGCGGAUUAAUAAUCCAAGACUAUAAAACCGUGUUGCCUAUUUGCUUUUCUUUAGUGGAUUAGGCGUCAAGUCUAACGGAGAGAUUGAAUUCGAUCAUCUUAAUGCCCUUUUAUGGCGAUUCACGUAAUUAUGGAGUAAUUUAUAAUUAUGGAAUAUAUCAUCGUAAGGGCUGGUAGAUCGGACAGUA
rnacentral:snoRNA from 1 species